rnacentral:rRNA from 1 species
AACGAACGCUGGCGGCAUGCCUAACACAUGCAAGUCGAACGAGACCUUCGGGUCUAGUGGCGCACGGGGGCGUAACGCGUGGGAACCUGCCCUUAGGUUCGGAAUAACUCCCCGAAAGGGGUGCUAAUACCGGAUAAUGUCUUCGGACCAAAGAUUUAUCGCCUUUGGAUGGGCCCGCGUUGGAUUAGCUAGUUGGUAGGGUAAAAGCCUACCAAGGCGACGAUCCAUAGCUGGGCUGAGAGGAUGGUCAGCCACACUGGGACUGAGCCACGGCCCAGACUCCUACGGGAGGCAGCAGUGGGGAAUAUUGGCCAAUGGGCGAAAGCCUGAUCCCGCACUGCCGCGUGAGUGCUGAAGGCCUUAGGGUUGUAAAGCUCUUUUACCCGGGAUGAUACUGACAGUACCGGGAGAAUAAGCUCCGGCUAACUCCGUG